AUUGAACGCUGGCGGCAGGCCUAACACAUGCACGUCGAGCGGAGCGGCGUACGGGUGAGUAAUGCCUAGGAAUCUGCCUGGUAGUGGGGGAUAACGUCCGGAAACGGGCGCUAAUCACACAUACUAUCAGAUGAGCCUAGGUCGGAUUAGCUAGUUGGUGGGGUAAAGGCCUACCAAGGCGACGAUCCGUAACUGGGCUGAGAGGAGGAUCAGUCAAACUGGAACGGAGAAACGGUCCAGACUCCUACGGGAGGCAGCAGUGGGGAAUAUUGGACAAUUGGCGAAAGCCUGAUCCAGCCAUGCCGCGUGUGUGAAGAAGGUCUUCGGAUUGUAAAGCACUUUAAGUUGGGAGGCGUUACCAACAGAAUAAGCACCGGCUAACGUCGUGCCAGCAGCCGCGGUAAUAC
rnacentral:rRNA from 1 species